GAUGAAUAGUAAAUGAAUUUUUUCAAUUCACUUAAGUUUUCAUUUGAUUGUUGGAUUUUUUCAGUUUAUUUUAUUUUUUUCAUCUGUUGGAAACAUUGUUUCAGUUUAUGUGUAUUUAGUUGUUUUUUUAUGUUUUGAAUGAAGAUGAUGAAAAAGAAGGAGAGGAGGAUGAGAAGAAGAUGAAUGCUGAUGAUGAUCAGCAUAAAGAAGAUGAUGAUGAUGAUGAUGAUGAUGAUGGUGAUGAUAAGGAUCACCAUAAUUAUAAUGAGACAAAGGAUGAUGAUGCUGAUGAUAAUGGUGAUCCUGGUCUUCAAGGAGAUGAAGACAAAGGAGGAGAUAAGGAUGCUGGUCUUCAUGGAGAUGAAGACAAAGGAGGAGAUAAUGGUGAUCCUGGUCUUCAAGGAGAUGAAGACAAAGUAGGAGAUAAGGAUGCUGGUCUUCAUGGAGAUGGAGAGGAAGGUGGAAAUAAUGAGAAAGAACCGAAGGAAGAUGAUAAUAAGAAGACUGGCAAUGCUGAUGAUGAUUGUGGUCUUCAAGGAGAUAAAGAGGAAGGAGGAAAUAAAGAGUUGGAUGCUGGGGUUCAUGCAGAAGGAGAGAAAGGAGGAAAUGUUGAGAAAGAACAACCAAAGGAAGCUGAUAGGAAGAGGAGGAAUGCUGAUGAUGAUCAAGUCAAAGGGGCUAAGGAUAAGGAUAAGUGUAAAAUUUCUACACACGUCCCUACUCGCACCGCUGCUGGUAUUGAUAUUGUUGAUCUUCGUACUCCAACUCCUCCUCCUCCUCCUCCGUUGUUGAAGCUGUUGAGAAUGUAUAUAGCAGAAAGUCUUGGAGAGUUGAUUCUUCUGCUAAAAGGAAAAACAUUGCUGAUUUCGAUGGCCCUUCAUUCCAACUAUUAACUCCUAGUCCUGUUGUUGAGGAUCUUGCAGAUAGUGCAGAGAGUGGUGAGGGUGUUGGAAGUUCAAUUCCAAUCAUCACUCCAGUAAAUGUAAAAUAUCCUCGAGGUGAUGGCUCUUAUUCUGAUCAAUCAUCAUACAAAUCCUACAAACCUCAGAAACAAUCAAAGUCAGAAAUCCCUUCAACACCUGAAUUAUUGAAGGGGUGGGACUAUGACCCUUCUUCAGAGAAAGUUGGGAAAGUUGUGAGAGUUAAGGAACCAGGUGAUGAUUAUGACGAUGAAGGUUUGGAGGACCUGAUUGAUAGGAUUGCUGAUCAUGGAGUUGAAUCAUCAUCUGACAAGGCUAAA